rnacentral:rRNA from 1 species
UACGUAGGGGGCUAGCGUUGUCCGGAAUCAUUGGGCGUAAAGAGCGUGUAGGCGGUCCGGUAAGUCCGCUGUGAAAGUCGGGGGCUCAACCCUCGAAUGCCGGUGGAUACUGUCGGGCUAGAGUGCGGAAGAGGCGAGUGGAAUUCCUGGUGUAGCGGUGAAAUGCGCAGAUAUCAGGAGGAACACCUGUGGCGAAGGCGGCCCCCUGGGCCGGCCCUGACACUGAGACGCGAAGGCGUGGGGAGCGAACGGG